rnacentral:rRNA from 1 species
CGGUCCCUACGGGGGGCAGCAGUGGGGAAUAUUGGGCAAUGGGCGCAAGCCUGACCCAGCAACGCCGCGUGAAGGAAGAAGGCUUUCGGGUUGUAAACUUCUUUUCUCAGGGACGAAGCAAGUGACGGUACCUGAGGAAUAAGCCACGGCUAACUACGUGCCAGCAGCCGCGGUAAUACGUAGGUGGCAAGCGUUAUCCGGAUUUACUGGGUGUAAAGGGCGUGUAGGCGGGACUGCAAGUCAGAUGUGAAAACCACGGGCUCAACCUGUGGGCUGCAUUUGAAAC